UACGAAGGGUGCAAGCGUUACUCGGAAUUACUGGGCGUAAAGCGUGCGUAGGUGGUUUGUUAAGUCUGCUGUGAAAGCCCCGGGCUCAACCUGGGAAUGGCAGUGGAUACUGGCAAGCUAGAGUGCGGUAGAGGGGUGUGGAAUUCCCGGUGUAGCGGUGAAAUGCGUAGAGAUCGGGAGGAACACCGGUGGCGAAGGCGGUUCUCUGGGCCUGUACUGACGCUGAGGAGCGAAAGCGUGGGGAGCGAACAGG
rnacentral:rRNA from 1 species